rnacentral:lncRNA from 1 species
UGGAAUUUUGGUUGAUGUUGAUUUAAGUUUUGAUUUAGCAAUUUUAUAAAGGAUCUAAGUCAAAAUGGUAACUCAACUAUAACACAUGUUAAAUCAAACUUAAAAUAAAUAAAAUAAAUUUAAUGCAUGAUUGAUAAUAUUUUUACGAUCAUAAAUCAAACUUAAUCAAGUCUAGUCUACCACAUGACACCAAUAAAAGUCAUUAACUCUUCAUAAUAUAACUUACUCUAUGUAUUAAUGUGAAUUAUAUGCUUUUGUUUUUUGUACUGGUUAAAAGGAUAUUUAGUUGU